rnacentral:rRNA from 1 species
GAUGAACGCUGGCGGCGUGCCUAAUACAUGCAAGUCGAGCGAACAGACGAGGAGCUUGCUCCUCUGACGUUAGCGGCGGACGGGUGAGUAACACGUGGAUAACCUACCUAUAAGACUGGGAUAACUUCGGGAAACCGGAGCUAAUACCGGAUAAUAUAUUGAACCGCAUGGUUCAAUAGUGAAAGACGGUUUUGCUGUCACUUAUAGAUGGAUCCGCGCCGCAUUAGCUAGUUGGUAAGGUAACAGCUUACCAAGGCAACGAUGCGUAGCCGACCUGAGAGGGUGAUCGGCCACACUGGAACUGAGACACGGUCCAGACUCCUACGGGAGGCCGCAGUAGGGAAUCUUCCGCAAUGGGCGAAAGCCUGACGGAGCAACGCCGCGUGAGUGAUGAAGGUCUUCGGAUCGUAAAACUCUGUUAUUAGGGAAGAACAAAUGUGUAAGUAACUAUGCACGUCUUGACGGUACCUAAUCAGAAAGCAACGGCUAACUACGUG